rnacentral:rRNA from 1 species
UGUGUCAGCCGCCGCGGUAAUACGGAGGUGGCAAGCGUUGUUCGGAAUUACUGGGCGUAAAGGGCGCGUAGGCGGCAUGGCAAGUCAGAUGUGAAAGCCCCAGGCUUAACCUGGGAAUUGCAUCUGAAACUGCUUUGCUUGAGUCCUGGAGGGGGUAGUGGAAUUCCCAGUGUAGCGGUGAAAUGCGUAGAUAUUGGGAGGAACACCUGCGGCGAAGGCGGCUACCUGGACAGUGACUGACGCUGAGGCGCGAAAGCUAGGGGAGCGAACAGGAUUAGAUACCCUGGUAGUCCUAGCUGUAAACGAUGGGCACUUGGUGUUGGGGGUAUUGAGUCCCCCGGUGCCGGAGUUAACACGUUAAGUGCCCCGCCUGGGGAGUACGGUCGCAAGACUGAAACUUAAAGGAAUUGGCGGGGGAC